rnacentral:lncRNA from 1 species
AUGUAGUCAAUCGAGUCAUUAUGGUUGAUUUGUAGCAGUCGAAGAAGUCAAUUAGAAGUUAUCGAUAAUCAGUUGGCUUAUUGAUUGAUAGUCGGCUGUCCGUAUCUAUGACACUGAUAAAACAUCGGGUGAUGAGCCUUGUAGAUGCUGUAGUCGAAUCGGAUCUUCUUUGAUGGUCCGACCUUGACGGUCCACCAUCCAUUGCCGACAUAUAGUCGGGAGGCCGA